UACAGAGACUGCAAGCGUUAUUCGGAUUCACUGGGCGUAAAGGGCGCGUAGGCGGCUCAUGAAGGCUGUGGUGAAAGUCCGGGGCUCAACCUCGGAUCGGCCGUGGCGACUCGUGGGCUGGAGCACUGUAGAGGCGGGUGGAAUUCCGGGUGUAGCGGUGGAAUGCGUAGAGAUCCGGAAGAACACCAGUGGCGAAGGCGGCCCGCUGGGCAGUGGCUGACGCUGAGGCGCGACAGCGUGGGGGAGCAAACAGG
rnacentral:rRNA from 1 species